CGACGAGGUGAUCGGUCUCGGC
rnacentral:siRNA from 1 species